ACGCUGGCGGCGUGCCUAACACAUGCAAGUCAACUUGACUGAAGAGCAAUCUGACAGUAGAGUGGCGCAAGGGUGCGUAACGCGUAAGUACUGCCCAAGGUAAGGAAUAACGUCGAGAAAUCGGCGCUAAUACCUCAUAAUGCAGCGGAUCCGCAUGGAUAUGUUGUUAAAGGUUUACCGCCUUGGGAUAGGCUUGCGUCUGAUUAGCUAGUUGGUGUGGUAACGGCACACCAAGGCUACGAUCAGUAACUGGUCUGAGAGGAUGAUCAGUCACACUGGAACUGAGACACGGUCCAGACUCCUACGGGAGGCAGCAGUGAGGAAUAUUGGGCAAUGCUCGAAAGAGUGACCCAGCAACGCCGCGUGGAGGAUGAAGGUAUUCUAUAUCGUAAACUCCUGUGAGAGCAGACGAAAGAUAGAUUAUUAAUCUGGAUGACUGUAUGCUCAGAGGAAGCCCCGGCUAACUACGUG
rnacentral:rRNA from 1 species